rnacentral:rRNA from 1 species
GAUGAACGCUAGCGGGAGGCUUAACACAUGCAAGUCGAGGGGUAUUUCGAGCAAUCGGGAGAGACCGGCGGACGGGUGCGUAACGCGUAUGCAACUUACCUUAUACAGGGGGAUAGCCCGUGGAAACGCGGAUUAACACCCAAUAGGACAUUUUUACUGCAUGGUGAGGAUGUUAAAUCUGAGGAGGUAUAAGAUAGGCAUGCGUCUGAUUAGCUAGUUGGUAAGGUAACGGCUUACCAAGGGGACGAUCAGUAGGGGUUCUGAGAGGAUAAUCCCCCACCCUGGUACUGAUACACGGACCAGACUCCUACGGGAGGCAGCAGUGGAGACUAUUUGUCAAUGGGCGAGAGCCUGAACCAGCCAUUCCGCGUAAAGGAAGAAGGCCUUACGGGUUGUAAACUUCUUUUCUGUAAGAAGAAUAGCCCCGACGUGUCGGGGUAUGACGGUAUUAUAGGAAUAAGCAUCGGCUAACUCCGUGCCAGCAGCCGCCGUAACAC